rnacentral:rRNA from 1 species
UAAUACAUGCAAGUCGAACGGUCUUUUCUAUGGAAGCUUGCUUCCACUGAGAAGAUAGUGGCGAACGGGUGAGUAACGCGUGGGUAACCUGCCUCAGUACAGGGGGAUAACAGCUGGAAACGGCUGCUAACACCGCAUAAGCAUACAGCAUCGCAUGAUGCAGUGUGAAAAUAUUAAUAGGUAUGAGAUCGGGCCCGCGUCUGAUUAGCUGGUUGGUAAGGUAACGGCUUACCAAGGCGACGAUCAGUAGCCGGCUUGAGAGAGUGACCGGCCACAUUGGGACUGAGACACGGCCCAAACUCCUACGGGAGGCAGCAGUGGGGAAUAUUGCACAAUGGGGGAAACCCUGAUGCCAGCGACGCCGCGUGAGUGAAGAAGUAUUUCGGUAUGUAAAGCUCUAUCAGCAGGGAAGAAAAUGACGGUACCUGACUAAGAAGCCCCGGCUAACUACGUGCCAGCCGCAGC